CGGCGGGCCCGCCUUGGGAAGGUGGCACGCGCGUGGAAUAGCGCGCCCCAGGAAAGUCGCGGCUACAGUGGUGAUGAAUGAGGGUCAGCUAUUGUGCAGCAGGGACAGACGGCGGAGAUGCCUGUUCCCCCAAGUCUCCUUUCAGAAGAUCCCAUGAGCAAGUCCCUACACCUAGACCUUCAAGCCCUCCUCCCGACAGAGAGGAUCUGGCAUGGGAGGGGCCCGCUGUAGCCGAGCUGAGGUUAUCUCUAGCUAGCAGGCUAGCCAGAAAGUGCCAGCUGCUCUCUCUUGCGCCCACCAGUACUCCCUUCUCAGGGCAUUCUCUGAUGUGCCUCGGAGAGUGUGCUGCGGACCGGGGGAGGCGCUCCUACUCUAUCGAACAAGGACAAUGGGCCGCUCUCAGGAGUAACAGAGCCGUUGUUUGUAGGUGGAGAGCACCCUCCGGAGCCCAGCCGACUAGCUUCCCGGUGCCAGACUUCCCUCCAUGCCUCUGCGGAACCAGGAACUGGACACACAAUGAAAGGACUCACUGAGCCAAGGCAGCCUCGGGGCAUGCAUUUUGGAAGCGCCAAAUCUACUUCCCUUCUUGAGUCUCAUCACCAUUCAAAAUGGAACCAGAAGCUACUUUGUAAAAUGGAGCUACUACCUAAGAGCAGAGUGGUGACGGCUACUAAGCCUGAGUUCCAUCCCUCAGAAUCCACAGGGUGGAAGGAGUGAAAUGACUGCUGCAAUUGGUUCUCCGAUCUCUGCAUGGUGUCUAUGGCACGACAGUGCCAUCCACGUAUGAUGUCCUGAAAGACCCUGCUUGGAAUGACCGUGAGCGCGUGCGGGGGUGGGGUCGGGGGGAGGGGUGAUCACACGCUGGGUGGGUGAUGGUCUCAGUAAAGUAGAAGCUGCAGUGGUGAUCUCACAUACACACACACACAUACAUGCACACGCUUGCGUGCACAAUAAAGUGACCCAUACCCAGGAGGCAGGAGGAUCCUUAUGAGUUUAAGGAAGGCUUGGUCUACAUUUAGAAUUCUUGGCUAGCCAAGGCUGCAUACUAAGAUUCUGGGGGCAGAGUUGGGGUGGGGAGCUACAGAAGGCAAGGCACAGUCCAAAAGCCACUGUUUUACAGUUUGGAGUGACUUAGAGCAAAGUACAGCCUGAUCUUGUUGGAACCUUCUGAGGGGAAGUAUCCUGGUGUGUUGUCCUGUUUUCAUAGGAGUCUUCUCUGUGGUGCAAAAAAUAGUAGGUCUUCAUUUUAGUCAUAUAAAGUUUUAAUUUUGUUUAAAAGACAAAACAACAACAACAGUGGAGCCAGUAUAGUGUGUGACAUGCCUCCAAUGCUAGCAGCCAGACAGCAAAGGCAGGAGCUCUGUGAGCCAUACAUAGUGAGCCCAUGUUGUCAUUCCCCAAGCCCCCAAAACAGUUUAAGACCAGCUUGAUAUACAUAGAAAAUUUAAAAUUCUGAGCCAAGUAGAGCUAUACAGUGGAACUGUCCUAAAAACAAAUAAGGCUAGAGAGGUGGCUCCGUAGUUAAGGUACUUAACCGCUUGCUCUUCCAGAGGACCCACCCCAGUUAGGUCCCCAUCAGCUUUUACAGGUGGCUCACAGCUACCUGGAACUAAGGGAAAUAGACACCUCUAAGCUCAGUGUGUAGGCAUGCACAUACUUAAAAAGAAAUCUAGAAAUCAAGCAACAAAAAGUAUAUUAGAGCUGGAGUAUAGCUGAGUGGUGAAGCACUCAACAUCAACUAAAGUGGAUGACUUAAGGAAGAUGCUAUAAUGAUUAAACCAGUGGAUCUGAAGGACAUGGACUGUAGGUGAGCACACGGAUUUCCCCUCUCCCAUUGCUACCUUGGAGUAGGGGAACAGGAAUAAGAGAAGGUCCCUGAUGUCUAGGGAGCAGAGCCUCUGUAGAAACAGGAAAUUGGGGUUAGGGAGAGCCCAUGUCUCAGGAGCAGGACCUCACAGCAGCCUGGCUACCUCCAGCCUCCUCCUUUGAAAAUGGCAGCAUUGUCUGGCACGUGUCCUGUUUUCCACUGUCUUUGCCUUUGUAGUAAUUAAUUAAUCCGGGCCUGCUUGCCACCUAAAGUCCCUUCAGACACUUCCUAGCUCUGCAUGUCGCCUUGCAGCUGGCAAUAUACCUUCACCUGAGGUUCGGCAUCAGGUCCUAGGGACCCACUCAGGGAAAACGGAGCCAUAUGGGCCCAGAGAAAUCCUGCUUUCCCUUUGAAAGUCAGCUGGAGGCCUUUCCUCCUUUGUUCUAGAUUUUCACACAGUGAAAAACACAGUCACACACACACACACACACACACACACACACACACACCUUACUUUUUCAGAGUCAGUGACUCACUAUGAAACCCUGACUGGCCUGUAACUCACCAUGCAGACCAGCGCUGGGAUUAAAAGCCUGUAGACACCCAGCUGUUAUGAUCACAGCCUUCAGCCCAUGUUCUAGGACAGCCUUUGGAAGUAGUCUAGGGGUCCAGCCCUGGGGGUAGUCAAGAAUAGAGCUAAGAGAAAUAGAAGAUCUAUACAUGAUUUCACUAGCCUUCAAGUGAAACGAGUCCUGCUCUCCAUUUAAGAAUGGAAACUGCAUCCUGUAGAUUUCCCAGUCUAUGUGACUGUCACAACAGAAGUCAGG
rnacentral:lncRNA from 1 species